GGCAUUUCCCUGUGACUCAGGGUUUCAGCAUAGGGAUUGGGGACAGGGAGGCAAGCCCUCAGACCACAGCAAAUGGCUCUGAACCAAGAAAACUGCAGGAUGAGGGAGGACUCAGAGCCUUCCAGAGUGCAGGCUCAGGUCACCCAACUAAUCAAAGGCCACCUGGAGUUCUGGCCGAGGACAGGGCAAGUACAGAGGAGGGUUGGGUGAGGGAAGCCACUGGGUCGAUUACAGCCUGGGGGUUCAGUGCAAAGCCGAGUGCGUGGUAGCUCAGCCUCGUUCCCGUCUGCUUGUCUCAUACACACACACCCAUAAGUAUAUGUGCAUUAUAAUGUAUAAAACGAAGGCAUGCGUGUCUAUAUUGAAGUGUAUGUGCGAUGUCUACCAGCUUUGGGAUAGUGCACGUGAAGCACCUUCUUCUCCUGCCUCCCCAGCUCGUCUGCUACCCCAGAUGCUGGAAGCUGAUGUUGCAGUUCUGUGUGCGGGAAGCACCUGUCCGGGGAGGCUGGGGGAUCUGCCAGCGAAGAAAGGAGAAGCAGCUGCAGGGAUCGUGCCUCCUCGCUGGGCUGCACGGCAGACCUUGUCACGUGGAAGCGAUCUCACAGGAUGGUGCCAGCCUGUGAGUGACCUUUCCUCCACUCAGCCAGCAUGUAUGAGCACCUACUGGAUGCAUCCGUGAACAAGACAGGAGCACCAAACCACAGCCUCAUGGAAGUUACGUUCUAGUCAGGAGAGAAAACAAACGAUUAAAAAGCGAUGUGGUGCCAGGUGGCGGUGCCUGCUUUGCAGGAAACGUGUCUGCUUAAGAGGAGAGGGGAGGGUGCACCGUCAGUGUGCGUCCACCUCCGCGCGGUCAGGACGGCCUCUCUGAGACAGUGGACGUGAGCGGUGGCUCGGGGGAAGAGGGGCCCGGUGCCCGAGACACUGGCUGAAAGGCCCACGCCCCAUGCUGGAGCUCCCGGCUCGGACUCCUACUCGGGCUCCUGACUCCAGCGUCCGCUAACACAGAUCCGGGGGCUGCGGUGACGGCUCCAGUGGUGGGUUUCUGCCAGCUCCCAUGUGGGAAACUGGAUGGACUUCCCAGCUCCCAGCCCGGGCCCCUCAGCUGUGGCAGGCACUUGGAAGGCUCAGCCCAUCUGUCUCUCCAGCUCCCUGCU
rnacentral:lncRNA from 1 species